rnacentral:rRNA from 1 species
AGUUUGAUCCUGGCUCAAGAACGAACGCUGGCGGCAUGCCUAACACAUGCAAGUCGAACGAGACCUUCGGGUCUAGUGGCGCACGGGUGCGUAACGCGUGGGAAUCUGCCCUGGGGUGCGGAAUAACUCGGAGAAAUCCGUGCUAAUACCGCAUAAUGUCUUCGGACCAAAGAUUUAUCGCCCUGGGUUGAGCCCGCGUAGGAUUAGCUAGUUGUGGGUAAAGGCCUACCAAGGCGACGAUCCUUAGCUGGUCUGAGAGGAUGAUCAGCCACACUGGGACUGAGACACGGCCCAGACUCCUACGGGAGGCAGCAGUGGGGAAUAUUGGACAAUGGGCGAAAGCCUGAUCCAGCAAUGCCGCGUGAGUGAUGAAGGCCCUAGGGUUGUAAAGCUCUUUACCCGGGAUGAUAAUGACAGUACCGGGAGAAUAAGCUCCGGCUAACUCCGUG